UUUAUUAUACACAAGAUGUCCAAUUAGGAAUAAUUCUGGAUCUGCUCCCGCCGUGAACCACUUACGUUGGUUGCUUUGUUUCCUCCAAUUCUUUCAAGACUUGUCCUCGGCGCCUCUGUUACACUCUGCCACUGAAUAUGUGAACCAUCAUUCUGUACAAAUGAAGGGAGAUCAUUGGACGAUAUGCAAGUAAUCAAAGCGGUCUGAAUACGCAGCCUACAAUAACUUAUGCAGGGAAUUCCACAACACCACGUUAACAUGUAGUCUAAGUCUGAAUACUCACUUGUUGAUCAAAGUUUGAAUCAGGGUCUGUGCGUGCAGACUAGAAUCAGUCGUCUUGCAGAAAAGUACAUAGGUGUGUUCGCCAUCGAAUUCUAUUCACCUUCAUUCACCUCAGUACAAUGGUUGAAAGCGUUUACAUAAUAGAAGGGAUCAGAUCAGGGCACAAUGACCCGAGACAAGUGGUAAUGGGGGAACAGAAAGAGGCAUCUUCAAACCCCAAAGGCAAUGCGGAACGCGGAAAAAAAACAGCGCUCCUAUAGUAAGCGACUAAAACAGAAUCCACGAUAUUAAAAACCGAUUAAUGACUCUUCCUUUUUGUUGGCGAACUUCUGAUAGUCUUGGUUUGAGUUAUACCUCGAGGAGAUACUGAUCGGGACAAUCUUUUCCGCACCCCGUCCCAUCUUUUUUUGUUCUCGAAAUGCAGAUUGGCGGAUCUCACACACCCACAUGAAUCAGGCAGGCAGUCAGCUGUGUAUGUGCUUGCAAACACACCGAGGCAAAACCAACAUACCUUUAUUGCGAACUCAAGCAGUGUCGUAUUUGUGAAUUGUUAAAUACGGUGAUAUAUAACUUCGUGAAGAACAACAUUAUGUCGAUAUCACGACAAAGACCGAAGUAAUAUCCAUGAGAGCAUUGGUGGAAUGGAUUUUUCUUUUUGUAAAAUGAAGGACCGGUUUAACUGAAGGAGUUAAUUGAGUUCAUGCUUCUUCCUUCGUGUGCCGGUAGAUAAUAUUAUACGAUGGAUGAGCCUAUGGAAAGUGUCGAAAGAGGAGCUGUGAUCUCAAUAAGCAUAGCAGGAGGAAUCGUCGUCUUCGUUCUCGGGGCCGUCGUCAUCUAUAUUCUCAGAGAACUCUAUUGCAAUGAACAUUAUGCCAACAUGACGUCAUCGGUAAGAAGAUCUCGCCCUCGUAAUGAAACUCGACCUCCUAAAAAGGUGGCGACCAUCGACCUCCAACCACCUUCAUCGAAGGAUAAAAUAGUACCUGGUUUCAGGAAAAUAGCUCUACCGGAUUCUAAUAUUUAGAAUCACUAUCGGUGACCGCUGUUUCCAAUGAUGACUGGAUAAUAAGGUCUGCUGUGUUAUAUCCAGGAUGACAUUGUAGGAGCAUGGAGCUAGGAGGCAGGCGCCAAUGGCCCAUCAAAAUACGGAACAAGUUGACGAAAGGAGAAAAUAUGUUUUUAUUGUGUAACUGUGAGGCUUGCAAUACCACUAUUUUUUUAUCUCAAAUGCAAUCGAAUUGUUAUGUAAGUCUUCUCCAUACCUGUCCGCCCUAUUUUGUGCGAAUGAAGAUUUUUGAGGACACGGUGUUUGUAAUAUCUGGUUGCAACUGUUCUUGUGAAGAAAGCUGAUUUCUUUCAGUACUUCCUUAACUUUAUCGUGAUGUUGUUUCUUUAUUUAUCACGUUUUUUAAUUAAAUAUAUCUAGGCCUAUUUAAUCGGAAAUAAACCAAUAAUGGUGAAAGUGAGAUGUAGAUUAGGAAAGACACAACUCAGAGCUCCGAGCAUCUGUCAUUUUAAUGAUUUUAACACUUAGACGAGCAUGCGAUAAGUCUGAUAGUAAUGGAAUGACAUUGCAGAUUUGCAAGAAAUGUUUUAUUUAAAGAACUUUUUUAAUGUUUUAUAACUUUUAAUUAGCAAGCGAAACAAAACAGGAAUUAAGUAAAAUGAGGGUAAUAAGUCUUAAAUUCAUCUGUUACAGGAUGGAUAUUAGAAAGCCCAACUCAGUCUUGCAUCUAGCGGGCUUAUGAGUAUAAGCUCGCCAGAAGACUGAGUGUGUUACAUUCGAGUUGAAGCAUCUAAUCUUUCCAGUUUAUACUGGCAGUCUGAUUUUAGACCAUCCAUUCAGGAGGCUUGUUGAUCAUGUUGGUGAUAUAAAACCUGUUUUUAAGAUCAUCUUCCAGUCAUAUUCGAGAACAUAUUGAGGGGCAUAAGGUGACGUAUGGGGAAAAUUGAGAUUUUGUUAAAGUUGAUAGUGGCAGGUUUUAUUUCAUUUCACAGACCAUAUUAUCAUAUUUAAACUUUCCCCUUUCGUAUUCUUUCAUUUUAUCACUUUUUUUUAAGUUUCCACGACCGAGAAGAAAAAGGUAAUAAAAGAAAGAAUGGAAAAUGGAAUACCCCUCCGAUCCCUCUCAUCCAAGGUGAAGUUAAACACCAUUCCCACCAUCAUGACAUCCAUGCAUGUCAACCAAGGUCGUAAAAAAUAUUCGAAACAAACAUUAUUUCAUUGUAAUUGAACGCUUGAUGGUGCAUGCUCAAGCACGUGAACAUCAAAGUGAUCAAAUAUUUUUUUUAAUAUUUGAUGCAAGUCCGGAUAUAUGGUGCUUUUUGAUAGAAUAACUAGUUGCAUACACGGGUAGCAAGUAGCCCCCCCUCCCGCCGCCCGCCCCCGCCCCAGUUUGAUAAUAUAGAGUCAGAGUAGUAGGUCAAUACUUUGCUCCAUUAGUUUACACCUAACCAGUUAACCCCGCCCCUCACAACACUCAAACCAUCUGAUUUUUCUUAUCCUUUGAAAGUUUUAGCCCUGUAAAUAUGCUCAACUGUGGUUUCAGUGGCAAAGCGGUAAAGAUUUGAGUAACUUCUAUACCUCUAAUCACUAUUUUUAAGGCCAAUUAAGAAACUGUAUUUAUAUUUUUCAGUGGGCAUUCAUUUUAUUUUUACUAGAGAUCGAUUCUCGGAGUCAACCUAAUUCAAAUUCGUCUUUUCUAAGCAUACUCAGCCCCUGUAACUUCGCUCAUACCAUCGUCUUAUUCAUUCUUAUAAAUGUGUGAUUUUACACGCCGUAUUUUAGUGAUAGAUUUCUGUUCGAUAUCUAGACUCUCCCAAAAGAUGCAUCUAAAUAUCUUACUCGUCUUUACAUUACAGACCGUAUUACUGCUUCCUUUAUCAGACGAAGAAGUGUAAACUCGGAAGUGUAUUUUAUCACUUGUGGAGGUUUAUGUCAUAAGUAUCGGUAAACGUUCGAGGGACAUGUCAUCUAACCCUUAAUGUUACCGUUUAAAUACUACUUAAAUAUAUUAUGCACAUCUCGCUAACGCAACUCCCGGUUUUGAUUUAUAAGUAAUAUGUUAACUGUGAAUUAUAAAGUAAACAAUUCAUGUUACUCCUUUUAUUGUUUUUUGUCAGUAAUAUCGAUUUUAUCUUUGUUAUCAUUGUGACUUGAUAGUGAUAAAUUGUAACUGCACAUGCAUAAAAGAAUAUGUAUAUUUAUGAAACAAAUUUUAAAUGAAAGAGUUCUGUAGAUUUAGUGUUUCCAAGUUGAUUAAAAUAUGAUAAUGAAGUUGGAUAUCCUCAAAUGUCUCUCAUUUUUUUGCAAUAUAUCAUGUCAUGUCAUUCCAUAAUCAUGUGUGUCCCUCAAAAGGUUUUACACGUUCAAGUUAUUGCUAAAGUUUUACUGAGGAACACUUGUUUAUUGUAUUCGUCUUUUGUAAAAAAAAUAAAAGAAAAUAUUUUAAAAAUUUGAAAAGAAGAAAGAGCGAGCGGAGGGGAGCACGUGGUGUGAUACUAUUCAUUCAUUUUUCUCUUCUGGUAUUCAGACUAUUUUCCUUUACUAGUAUGUUUUUUAAUGAUAGUUUUUUUUUCAUAUUCUUGGAUUUUUUUCUUUGUCCCAUAUUUUGUGUGUUUAUGUGUCUUUCAUAGUAUAAUUGAGUUAUAAGAUAAGUGGCAUGUGUUGCAUGCUACAAUAUUAUGACAGAAUGUAUGUCCAGAAAUAAAUUGCAUAAUGAAAUGUAUUACAUCACCAUGUUGUAUAAACUUAAAGAGGUGUUUGAAUAAGAUGUAAUUGAAAUUAGACUUGAUGUAAUUUAUGAUUAUGCAUGACCACGUAUGUUUCUGCGUUCACUGUCCUUAGCACAAAAUGCAGAUUUACAAACUAUGUUAUCUAGGUUUCCUCAAUGAUUAUUUGUUUGUGAUUUAUAUUUUGGUCAGGACAACGAUUUCAGACAUGCGGGAAUGGUAAACCACUGGCAACCACUUAAAAAAUAUGAAAGCAUGAUUGGUUCUAGCAUGGACCUUACCAUGGUUCUAGGCUGACCUACAUGUAUCCAUCACUAUAGAGCGCAACAGCCCCAUAUUAGAUUAGCAAUCAAUUUAAGAUUAAAAACUCAUCUUAUUUGUUUGCAAUGAAAAAAGGGAAUUAUAUUCACAAUGCGAAAUUGAUUAGUCCCUGAUGGGCAUAGAUUUGACGGUCAUUUUUUUAUUUGUAGGUCCAUGUUUUGAAAUUACGAUGUCCAGUAUCUUCAUGAAUCUUUUAUUACUUUUACCCCCCCCCCCACCACCCCUUUCUCUCUCCCUCUCUCUCUUUCUCUCUCAAGUAGCUGAUUUUAAAUACUUAAUGACAUUCGUUCACAAUGUAUUGUCUUUUAUUAAAAUUUUACAUGUAAUUAUCGAUAUCUUAUCAAUAAAAAACAUGCAUGAAGGCUGUUUUAAAUAUUUUCCAAUAAAAGUUGAAAUGAAUUAUGAAUCAUUGUGCUUUCAAUUUUGAUUCAAGUUUUUUCUCGAUUUAAUUGAAUUUAGUGUAUGUAUUUUUUUCAUAUUUCAUUAUGCAUUUUUUUACGACUUUCGCAACAAAUAAACAUUUAUAUUUUGCCAACAUUUUACACCUGAUUCACGUUUGAAAUGUGCUAGUCUAAGUCUGAAUACCCACUUGUUGAUCAAAGUUUGAAUCAGGGUCUGUGCGUGCAAAUCUGAUGUGUCUGUGUAUUGUUUUCAGUUUCAGGUUUGUGAUCCCCAAGAUAUUUUUCUAAUACUUUCAAUGAGAAUGAAAUGUCCCCUCUAUGCACACACCCUCACACACCUGCACGCACCCAGACAUAGACAAUGGUAAAUAAAGAUGAAUUAUUUGGAGA